UACGUAGGGUGCGAGCGUUAAUCGGAAUUACUGGGCGUAAAGCGUGCGCAGGCGGUUUUGUAAGUCAGAUGUGAAAUCCCCCGGGCUUAACCUGGGAACUGCGUUUGAAACUACAAGGCUAGAGUGUGGCAGAGGGGGGUGGAAUUCCACGUGUAGCAGUGAAAUGCGUAGAGAUGUGGAGGAACACCGAUGGCGAAGGCAGCCCCCUGGGUUAACACUGGCGCUCAGGCACGAAAGCGUGGGGAGCAAACAGG
rnacentral:rRNA from 1 species